GAGCCAGUGGCGAAGGGUACCGCGUCCGCCUCAUAUGAUCGUGGUUCAAUGAGUGUAAAUCUUGGCACGCGGAAGGUCCGGGUUCGACUCCCGGCUGGCUCA